CUUGGAAACUGGCGUAAUGUCAUAGACAAGGAAGUUUUGGUGAAAUAUUGGUGAAGGAUAACUAAAGCAGCAGGAGCUAUAUGUCACUAAAGUUUCUGAUGCAACUGAAAUAUAUUUGACAUGAAGAAGACUACAGAAAUGCUCCAGAAAAGUACUUUGCAUGGUCUUCUGAAGGCUUUACAGAAAAGAGAAAGAACCCGAAGCAGAAGGAAUUUCCUCAAGGUCAUACAAGUUUUGCACACUAGGGAAUAAGAAACGCUAAGGGACACUGUGAAAAAGGAGGACUUCAGAAUAAAGCGGGGAAGACAUUCUGGUAAGGCCUACUU
rnacentral:lncRNA from 14 species